rnacentral:rRNA from 1 species
UUCCGGUUGAUCCUGCCGGACCUGACUGCUAUCGGAUUGAUACUAAGCCAUGCGAGUCUUUGUAGUAAUACAAGGCAUACGGCUCAGUAACGCGUAGUCAACCUACCCUAUGGACAAGAAUAAUCUCGGGAAACUGAGCAUAAUUCUUGAUAGACCAUAAUGCCUGGAAUGGUUUAUGGUUAAAAUGAUUCGUCGCCAUAGGAUGGGACUGCGGCCUAUCAGCUUGUUGGUGAGGUAAUGGCCCACCAAGGCGAUUACAGGUACGGGCUCUGAGAGGAGAAGCCCGGAGAUGGGUACUGAGACAAGGACCCAGGCCCUAUGGGGCGCAGCAGGCGAGAAAACUUUGCAAUGUGCGAAAGCACGACAAGGUUAGUCCGAGUGAUUUCUGCUAAAGAGAUCUUUUGCUAGUUAUAAAACCACUAGUGAAUAAGGGGUGGGCAAGUUCUGGUGUCAGCCGCCGCGGUAAAACCAGCACCUCAAGUGGUCAGGAUGAUUAUUGGGCCUAAAGCAUCCGUAGCCGGCUCUGUAAGUUUUCGGUUAAAUCUAUGCGCUCAACGUAUGGGCUGCCGAAAAUACUGUAGAGAUAGGGAGUGGGAGAGGUAGACGGUACUCGGUAGGAAGGGGUAAAAUCCUUUGAUCUAUCGAUGACCACCUGUGGCGAAGGCGGUCUACCAGAACACGUUCGACGGUGAGGGAUGAAAGCUGGGGGAGCAAACCGGAUUAGAUACCCGGGUAGUCCCAGCUGUAAACGAUGCAGACUCGAUGAUGCAUUGGCAUAUAGCCAGUGCAGUGUCGCAGGGAAGCCGUUAAGUCUGCCGCCUGGGAAGUACGUACGCAAGUAUGAAACUUAAAGGAAUUGGCGGGGGAGCACCACAAGGGGUGAAGCCUGCGGUUCAAUUGGAGUCAACGCCGG